UUCCAUUGCGCUGAACUCAAGGAGGAGGAGGAAAGUGGGAGCUGCUGCACUCACGGCUGAGUGUGCAUGGCUGGUAGGUGACAGCCUGAGGUCUGUUCGGUGACCCCGGCCCCUCGGAGGGCCCGCGGAGACUCAGAAUUAGCUGCACUUACCACGGUGCCCGCGGGUCGGGGUGCGGAUCCACACCCCAGAGGAAGGCCGCUCCCGGGCCGCGAGGACCUCGCUGGCGGCCGCUUGGGGGCAGCAGACGCCCGCCCUGCGGGGGAGGUGGGGCCUGCAGGCCGCGGGGCCGCUCUCGGAGCCCGGCAGGCCUGAGCAGGUCGGGGCGCGUGUUCCGGAAGCCCGGUCCCGGGCGCUGUGAGGGGCACCUGGGGACGCUCCGCGAGUCUGUGUCCCAGCCCUGAGCUCAGCGGAAGACUGCAGAGUCCUGGGCCCACGAGGUGGGUCUCCGCUCCGUCCGGACGCGGGCACGCUCCCAGUGUCUCUCGGGAAAAGUGACCUGGACUUCGUGCCGGGGAGAAGGCGCCGAGGCCGGGCCACGCCUGUCCGGGGAAGCCUGAACCGCCGCCCCGGGGUGUGCAGGGUGCGGGUGGGGGUGAAGUUCCGGAAGACUGCUGGUGCCGAGAGAUGGGUGGAUCGGCAGGUCUUGUUAGCAAGGACAAAGGAAAUCGUUACGUUAUUGGCUUAGCUGUUAUUUAAAAUAAAAACAUAAACAUAAUUAAAAAUAAGCACUUUUUCCGGGGGCAGUGGCUCAUGCCUGUAUUCCCAGCACUUUCGGAGGCCGAGACCGAGGCAGGCAGAUCACUUGACCUCAGGAGUUUGAGACCAGCCUGGCCAACAUGGUGAAACCUCAUCUCUACUAAAAAUACAAAAAUUAGCCCAGCGUGGUGGCGCAUGCCUGUAGUCCCAGCUACUGGAGAGUCCGAGGCAGGAGAAUUGCUUGAGCCCGGGAAGCGGAGGUUGCAGUGAGCCAAGAUCAUGCCACUGUACUCCAGUCUCAGGGAAAGAAUGAGGCUAUGGCAAAAAAAAAAAAAAAAAAAAAAAAAAUAUUGCCCUUUGGGUAUGACUGUGUUUUCUCUACACACAUGAACUGUGUCUUUGAAAGGACAACUUCCUUUUCCUGACUGUGCAUCAUCUGACCAAAUUCCAAACUCCCGUAAUUUAAGGAAAUAAUAUACUUUGUGGAAAAAUUAGAAAAUAUAUAUUAGCAAAGAAAGAAUAAAGGCAAGCCGCGUGCAGUCCCAUUACUCUGAGAUGGCCGCUGUUGCUGGUGUGGUGGGCCUCAUCCAGACUUUUCUCUAUGCAAGCACAAACACACAUGCUCAACUCAGUUUAUUUUAUUUUUCCAAAACGGAAGUCAUGCUGUACAUAAUGUUUUGUAAUCAAAAAAUUUUUCUUUUUGAUAUAUCAUGAACAUUUUGCCCAUCAUGAAAUAUCCUUUUAAAUUGUAUGCAAUUCCACUGUAAACAUGUGGGUUUAUUUGACACCUUGAUUGUUGGACAUUUUAUCUUGAAUGCUUAGAAUGGAAAAGAAUUAUCCCCGGAUAGGAAGGUA
ensembl:lncRNA